rfam:Mustela putorius furo unplaced genomic scaffold scaffold00130, whole genome shotgun sequence.
GACGCUUCAUGACGGGAAGGACUGAAAUGUCUCGUGGACGCCUGGUCUUUCCCUGAUGUCCCUGCGGC